GCCACGGUGGUCUAGCGGUCAGAACGCUGGCCUUGUAAUCCUGGGGUCCCGGGUUCAAUUCCCGGUGGUGCCC
rnacentral:tRNA from 1 species